GCCUGGAUAGCUCAGCUGGUUAGAGAGUGGUGCUAAUAAUGUGAAGGUUGCAGGUUUGAUCCCUGUAAGGGACA